UACGUAGGGUGCAAGCGUUGUCCGGAAUUAUUGGGCGUAAAGAGCUCGUAGGCGGUGUGUCACGUCGGCCGUGAAAACCUGGGGCUUAACUCUGGGCGUGCGGUCGAUACGGGCAUCACUAGAGUUCGGCAGGGGAGACUGGAAUUCCUGGUGUAGCGGUGAAAUGCGCAGAUAUCAGGAGGAACACCGGUGGCGAAGGCGGGUCUCUGGGCCGAUACUGACGCUGAGGAGCGAAAGCGUGGGGAGCGAACAGG
rnacentral:rRNA from 1 species